GGCCAGGUCGUUCAAUUGGAAGGACAGGAGGCUACGGACCUCCAGAUUGGGGUUCGACUCCCUGCCUGGUUA
rnacentral:tRNA from 1 species